rnacentral:rRNA from 1 species
AGUUUGAUUCUGGCUCAGGAUGAACGUUGGCGGCGUGCCUGAGAUAUGCAAGUCGAGCGUGCCCUCCGAUUCGGAGGGCAGCGGCGAACGGCUGAGUAACACGUAGGAACUUGCCNNNAAGUAGAGGAUAGCCCAUCGAAAGAUGGGGUAAUACUGUAUGGUCCCCGACGUUACGUCGGGGUAAAGGAUUUAACCGUCCGCUUANNGAGAGACCUGCGGUCUAUCAGGUAGUUGGUAGGGUAACGGCCUACCAAGCCGAUGACGGGUA